GUGGGGUGACUGCGUACCUUUUGUAUAAUGGGUCAGCGACUUAUAUUCUGUAGCAAGGUUAACCGUAUAGGGGAGCCGAAGGGAAACCGAGUCUUAACUGGGCGUUAAGUUGCAGGGUAUAGACCCGAAACCCGGUGAUCUAGCCAUGGGCAGGUUGAAGGUUGGGUAACACUAACUGGAGGACCGAACCGACUAAUGUUGAAAAAUUAGCGGAUGACUUGUGGCUGGGGGUGAAAGGCCAAUCAAACCGGGAGAUAGCUGGUUCUCCCCGAAAGCUAUUUAGGUAGCGCCUCGUGAACUCAUCUUCGGGGGUAGAGCACUGUUUCGGCUAGGGGGGCAUCCCGACUUACCAACCCGAUGCAAACUGCGAAUACCGAAGAAUGUUAUCACGGGAGACACACGGCGGGUGCUAACGUCCGUCGUGAAGAGGGAAACAACCCAGACCGCCAGCUAAGGUCCCAAAGUCACAGUUAAGUGGGAAACGAUGUGGGAAGGCUCAGACAGCCAGGAUGUUGGCUUAGAAGCAGCCAUCAUUUAAAGAAAGCGUAAUAGCUCACUGGUCGAGUCGGCCUGCGCGGAAGAUGUAACGGGGCUAAACUGUGCACCGAAGCUGCGGCAGCGACGCUUAUGCGUUGUUGGGUAGGGGAGCGUUCUGUAAGCCUGCGAAGGUGUCCUGUGAGGGAUGCUGGAGGUAUCAGAAGUGCGAAUGCUGACAUAAGUAACGAUAA
rnacentral:rRNA from 1 species